rnacentral:rRNA from 1 species
UACGUAGGGUGCAAGCGUUAAUCGGAAUUACUGGGCGUAAAGCGUGCGCAGGCGGUUAUGUAAGACAGAUGUGAAAUGCCCGGGCUUAACCUGGGAACUGCAUUUGUGACUGCACGGCUAGAGUGUGUCAGAGGGGGGUAGAAUUCCACGUGUAGCAGUGAAAUGCGUAGAGAUGUGGAGGAAUACCGAUGGCGAAGGCAGCCCCCUGGGAUAACACUGACGCUCAUGCACGAAAGCGUGGGGAGCAAACAGG